rnacentral:misc_RNA from 1 species
CGAAUAUCGGGGACUGGCGUAGUGCAGUGCUUCUGCACUGUCUACGCUAGUCCUGUCUGCAUAUUGCCCUGUUUUUUGCGCACUCACUUGUUUCCUCGGCAGGCUUGCCUGUCAGUAGGACCCUUUUACACUCUUUGAAAUAGCAGUUAGCAUCUGAAAACUAUAAUUGUUA